UACCAUGUCCCUCUUUCCAAUGCCUAAGUUCCUAAUGAAAUGCAUUGAUACCUCCUUAAAUAUCUCCAAGAUUCCAACUUUAUCUUUCAAAUGAAAAAUAACUCCCAUGGAAAGAUGGCUAGCUCUUUCAUGAUUUCAAGGCUUAAAUUAAUGUCUGAGAUAAGAAAGGGUGCCAAGGAUGUACGUGGCCCUCAAGCCGUCAACAACUAGUGGUCAAGUUGCCCCCUCGGAUCGUUUUAUCAUUGUGUUUGAGAGAGACGGAGAGAUAGGGAAACGAGGUCAAACUUAUAGGGAAAGUGGGAAAGGAUUGGAGAGUAGCAUCUUGCGAAGAGAUAAACGAGAAACUUAUAUCUAAUAUCUAUCUUC
rnacentral:lncRNA from 1 species